rnacentral:rRNA from 1 species
UCCUACGGGACGCAGCAGUGGGGAAUAUUGCACAAUGGGGGAAACCCUGAUGCAGCAACGCCGCGUGAGUGAAGAAGUCAUUCGUGAUGUAAAGCUCUAUCAGCAGGGAAGAAAAUGACGGUACCUGAGUAAGAAGCCCCGGCUAACUACGUGCCAGCAGCCGCGGUAAUACGGAGGAUGCGAGCGUUAUCCGGAUUUAUUGGGUUUAAAGGGUGCGUAGGCGGAAUGCCAAGUCAGCGGUAAAAUCGCGGGGCUCAACCUCGCUCCGCCGUUGAAACUGGCGUUCUUGAGUGGGCGAGAAGUAU